rnacentral:lncRNA from 1 species
AUUUAGAUUAAAUGCUGUAAACUUCCUUAUAUUUUUUGUUUUUUUUCGUUUUUUAUUUUCUAUUAUUAUGAAAAAAAAAUUAGAAAAUCAAAACUAGACUUUUUUACGUUCUUUUUAACCAAUCAAAUUUAAAAAACAACAAAAAUAUCACACGUUAUUUUUUCUUUUGGAACAACAUUUCAAGUAGAAAAGUUGACAAAAAAAACUGAAAAAAAAAAUUCUCCCGUUCUUAUAAAACCAAUAUUCGCUACAUUCAGACUCUAAAAAUGCCAUAGGACACAUUCAGCAUUUAUUAGAACAACAAUUUUCUACAUCUUUUAUUAAUAUAUUUAUUAUGCCCACUACUAUAAUUGCGGUUACUUAUUCUAAUUCUCCUAACAAGUCUAGCUGUUUACCAUAUGCUAAACAUAAAUAUUAGAAAUUACUAAUCAUCGUUAUCCUAAAUAGAUAUUUUGGAACAGACAUAUGGAAUAAAUGAUAGUAAGUAUUCGGUUAAAAAUUAAAUUAUUUUUUAGUGUCGGAUAUCUAAAAUUGGCCGACAUAUUUUGUAAUUUCUAAUUUUACAUCGUUAAUUGAAUUUAUUAUAUAUUUUGUUAUACAAUUGAUGAGAAAACCACAUUGUUAAUUAUAUCGUUUUUGUUAAGUAUUAUUUACAUGAAUAAUAACGCAAACGUAUUAAAUAGUCCUUCAUUGAUAAUGGUAAAAGUGGGAGUGAAGGUAUACAUAAAUAUUUUCUAUGAAACCAACAAUAAUGGACAGUGCCCACCGACCGUAAUAUGAUAUCUUAUGAUUAUGUAAUACUUACGGUUACAAUUAUUGUCGCGCUGUAAACGACAUCUUAAUAAACAACAUCUGUUUGCUUAAAUAAAAUAAUUAUUUUACCAUAGUACUUAAUUAGUUAUUGUUCGUCUAACUUUCAUAUUAAUAUUAUUUUUGUUGAAUAUAAUUGAAAAAAAAAAAAAUUACAUCAUCUGUAAUCACUUGGAGGCUGAGGCGGUUACCUAAACAUAAUUGGUCUGAUAGUUUUAUCUAUCAUUUUAGAAGUUCUACGUCAUACAUAUUGUUACCAACACAUUUGACGAUUUAUUAUUUUGCCAUUUAUUAUUAUUCGUAUAAUGUUUAGCCAAAAUCUAUCGACUAUAAUAAACUGUAUUAUUUAAUUCCUCUAUGGUUUUUUUUGAGGAUUAAAUAAUGAAACAGAAUAUAAUGCAAUAUUAUUAAGAACAACUAUGCAUGAAACUUGUGGUUCGUAGAUUUUAUUUUGACUUGGAUGUGUUUACACAAUAAUAUUUAAUAUAAAAAAAAAUAUUCACCAAAACUAAAAAAUUUAUUUUAUAAAUAAUAACUUAAAAAAACAAAAUUAUUAAAAUGGUAAUUACUCAUAAAAAAAUUAUAGUUAAUCAAUAUAAAUAAAAAAAAGUGCAUAUAUAUUUUCUUAUUUAUAUAAUUAUAUAGUAUAUUUAAUUUAUUACAGUAAAAAUAAUAAAUUAUUACUCAUCUACAUGAACCUAUGUUCAAACAACAAAAAAGUUUUAACCCAAAACUACAAUUAACCACAACUGAUAUGAUACAAUACAAUCAUUUAUAUCAAGGCAUUUUAAUAACUUUUACUAAACUCUAUAAUAAUUGUCAAUUAUUCUAGGAAUGACCGCCAAGUCCAUUUACGACAAGGUGUCAGCAAGUAUGUGCAGAAUGUAUAUUAAAUCCCCUCUAAAUAAUCAAUUAAUGUCAUUCCAAUAUAAUAAUAAAAUAUAUACUGAUUUAAUUACUAAAUAUUUAAUUUUUAUUUCAUAGGAUAUACAAUUGACUCUGAUGGAGGCAAGUGGUUUAAACAAUUAAUGUUUUUAUUUGUCUAUUUAACAGAUAGAAUAAUGACUACAGAUUUACUAAAUUAUAAAUUAUCAUUGAUCAUUANAUGAACCUAUGUUCAAACAACAAAAAAGUUUUAACCCAAAACUAAAAUUAACCACAACUGAUAUGAUACAAUACAAUCAUUUAUAUCAAGCCAUAUUAAUAACUUUUACUAAAUUUUAUAAUAACUGUCAAUUUUUCUAGAUAUGACCGUCAAGGACAUUCACGACAAUCUGACAGAAAGUAUGUGCAGAAUAUAUAUUAAAUCCUCUUUAAAAAAUCAAUUAUUGUAAUUCCAAUAUUAAUAUUAAAAUGUAGACCGAUUUAAUUAUUAACUAGUUAAUUUUUAUUUUAUAGGAUAUGUAAUUGACUCUGAAGGAGGCAAGUGAUUUAAACAAUUAAUGUUUUUAUUUGUCUAUUUAGCAGAUAGAACAAUGACUACAGAAUUUAUAAAAUUAUAAAUUGUCAUUGAUCAUUAUUUUGGUCAAUUAUCAAGGUGUAAAAUAGUUUUUAUUUCAAAGACAUUCUAAAACACAAUUCUAAAAAAAAAAAAACUAAUUUUAAACCGUAUUUAGGGGAACUUCCAAUAGUGCUUAUUAUAAGGUUGAGCAACUGUUAUUCCUCUGAUAAUUUCUUACCUUAAACAUUCCUGGCGUUGACUUAAGAUAAUUUAGUUCACAUAGCCUUAGGUACCUUACCUCCUCCCACUACCAUUAUAUAUUAUGCUCUAACUUCGUAAUUUUUUUUUUCAUAUCAAUUACGUUUAAAACUAUCAAUGAUUUUACUUUUUUAUUAAAAAAUUAUAUAUCAGUAGAUAACAACUAUUACUCUUUUAGUUUUUUAAAUUUGAUUUCAACUAUUCUCACUAAGUUGGUACAUGCCCUUUACCAAAUUAGUACAAAAAUGAGGUAAACUUUUCUUUUCCUGAUUUUAAUCUACUAAUUAUAUGGCUACAAAUGAAUUCUUUUACAAUUUUAUCUGUUUAGAUACUUUUUUUAUAAAUAUCACUAAUGAUGCCACCUCUAUUUUCAAUGAUGCCUUAUUCCAUUAUAUAAAUAGAUUUAUUCCACUGAAAGUACCUACGUGAGAAACCAAGAUUCCUUUAAUGUUUGUCAAAUUCUCUAAAACAACUUAUUAUUAAUAAACGAAAAGCACAUAUUAUCUUUAGGAAGUCUAGUAUUGAUAUAAAUCAAAUAGGUUACUAUAACUAAGAGCCAAAUGCAAGCGGCUUUCAAAACUAGACUAUUCCAUAUAUAUUUGUCACACUGAGCUGUUUAAACAGUAAUGGUAAUUUAAAAAAAAAAUGAUAAUUAUUAAUUUAUUUCUUACUUUCACAGAAUUACGUUAUAAAAACAAUAGUAUGUAUUUUAUAUUUUGAUUAAAAAUAAUUGAUUCUGUUUUAUAAUAAGUGUGCUGAAUAGUAAAUACAUAUUCGCGCUAUUGCUAGUUAUUGUUUCAUUUAAAGUGAUUUCUUGUUUUUCUCGUAAUCAAAUAUUUAUCGAGUAUACCAUAGGUAUAUUUCUUUUUUACGUUUUUUUCAACAAAACGGAUAUGAUAUCUUUGUGUACCUGCGUUUUCUACUAUUUCUGCAUUCUGAUAGUUUAGACUAUUUAUGGAUAGAAAUAACACUUUCUGAUGUUAUUAACUAAUCACAGUUAAGGUGAUCUCUUUUAAACAAAUAUUGAACAAAUAUUAUAUAUAUUUUAAAUAAUUUUACUUGAUGUGGAUAAAGUCUUAUCGAAAUAUAUUAAAUAAUUAUAAUACAUUUUAUUUUAAAGAUGAACUUGUUACAGGUAUGGAUUUUAAUUAAUUGCAUUAGAAAAAAUGUGUUUUUUUGUGAAUCCUAACAGUAACAAAUAAA